CCCUGAAUGGUGCAGAUGGUUAACAUGUUCAGCUGCUAACUGAAAGGCUGGAGGUUCAAGUCCACCCAGAGGCA
rnacentral:tRNA from 1 species